GACGGUUGAUUGGAGAUGAUGUGUAGAGACUGGAUAGGUAACCUUCAUGUUUAGGUGUUGGACUCGGCGUAUCGGAGGUCUCAGAAUUUUUUAUUCAAUUCGGUUUGGUUUUUAAUAAAUUUUUCGUAAACUUUGAUAAAUUGUUUUCAUACAGACUUUAAAUAAAUUUUAUGGGCUGUGGUAUAAGUUUCAUUCGGACUUGUAAGUUGAUGUUUGGUGUGAAUUAAACUUGGACUUUGAAAGAUAUGGGUUUUCGUAUUGGAACUAAACGGGUGUUUCCAUGCAUGAUUAUUAUAAAAAUAGAAACAUGGAUUUUUGAGACUGUGAUGAUUUAAUAAACGAUCAAUAUAUGAAAGUAUUAUUUUUAUGAA